rnacentral:tRNA from 1 species
ACACCAGUGGUGAAACGGUUAUCAUGCUUGCCUUCCAUACACAACUUAGCAAGCGGCGGGGGUUCGACUCCCUCCUGGUGUA